rnacentral:rRNA from 1 species
UACGUAGGUGGCAAGCGUUGUCCGGAUUUAUUGGGCGUAAAGCGAGCGCAGGCGGUUCCUUAAGUCUGAUGUGAAAGCCCACGGCUCAACCGUGGAAGGUCAUUGGAAACUGGGGAACUUGAGUGCGGGAGAGGUUAUCGGAAUUCCCGGUGUAGCGGUGAAAUGCGUAGAUAUAUGGAGGAACACCAGUGGCGAAGGCGACUCUCUGGUCUGUAACUGACGCUGAGGCUCGAAAGCGUGGGGAGCAAACAGG